UGCAAGUCGCACGAGACGCUUCAGCUUGCUGAAGUAAGUAAAGUGGCGCACGGGUGAGUAACGCGUGGGUAAUCUACCCUCAAAUUGGGGAUAACCCGCCGAAAGGCGGGCUAAUACCGAAUGAUAUCCUGAAAACUUAUGUUUUUAGGAUCAAAGGUGGCCUCUACAUGUAAGCUAUUGUUUGGGGAUGAGCCCGCGUACCAUUAGCUUGUUGGUCGGGUAAUGGCCUACCAAGGCUGCGAUGGUUAGCUGGUCUGAGAGGAUGAUCAGCCACACUGGAACUGACACACGGUCCAGACUCCUACGGGAGGCAGCAGUGAGGAAUUUUGCGCAAUGGGGGAAACCCUGACGCAGCAACGCCGCGUGAGUGAUGAAGGCUUUCGGGUCGUAAAGCUCUGUCAAGUGGGAAGAACUCAUAUGGUGUUAAUAUCGCCAUGUGCUGACGGUACCACUGAAAGAAGCCCGGGCUAACUCCGUG
rnacentral:rRNA from 1 species